rnacentral:rRNA from 1 species
UAUGGUAAAGACAGUUAAGCAAAAUAGUAUAAUCAUCAGAUCUUUAAUAUAGGAGUAAAAUCUAGAUAUUAAAAGUUAUGCCGAGUAUGAUUCAUCUCUUAGGUGCUGAAUCUGUGACAACUUUAAGGGAAACUGGGAUUGGAUACCCCACUAUUUUUAGUCGUAAAUUUAACUAAGUUUACCAGAGCACUACGAAUAAAAAGUUUAAAACUCAAAGGGCUUGGCGGUGUUUUAGACCUCUCAGGGGAACCUGUCUCAUAAUCGACAGUCCGCGUUAGACCUGACCCUUUAUAGCAAUUCAGCCUGUAUACCGUCGUCGUCAGGUAACUUCUUAAAAUAUAGUAGUUAGCUUGAGAAUUAUAUUAAUUAACACGUCAGAUCAAGGUGCAGCUAAUAAGAGGGAGAGGAUGGGUUACAAUUACAUAUUUGUAAUUACGGUAGAAUGCUUGAAAUGAGUGUUUGAAAGGAGGACUUGAAAGUAAUUUUAAUUAUAUAAAUAGGAUGAAUAGGGCUCUGAAACGUG